rnacentral:rRNA from 1 species
AUUGAACGCUGGCGGCAGGCUUAACACAUGCAAGUCGAGCGGAGAGAGGUAGCUUGCUACUGAUCUUAGCGGCGGACGGGUGAGUAAUGCUUAGGAAUCUGCCUGGUAGUGGGGGACAACGUUUCGAAAGGAACGCUAAUACCGCAUACGUCCUACGGGAGAGAGCAGGGGAUCACCUGUGACCUUGCGCUAAUAGAUGAGCCUAAGUCGGAUUAGCUAGUUGGUGGGGUAAAGGCCUACCAAGGCGACGAUCUGUAGCGGGUCUGAGAGGAUGAUCCGCCACACUGGGACUGAGACACGGCCCAGACUCCUACGGGAGGCAGCAGUGGGGAAUAUUGGACAAUGGGGGGAACCCUGAUCCAGCCAUGCCGCGUGUGUGAAGAAGGCCUUAUGGUUGUAAAGCACUUUAAGCGAGGAGGAGGCUCUUUUGGUUAAUACCCAAGAUGAGUGGACGUUACUCGCAGAAUAAGCACCGGCUAACUCUGUGCCAGCAGCCGCCGUAA